AAAAUUUGCGGCGCUUUAUAUGAAUCGCCGCUAAAGGUAAGCAAUAGCGGCGUUUUCUAUAAAAACGCCGCAAAAAAUAAAUCAAUUUAUAAAAAAAUAAAAAAAUUUUAGAAUAGCAAAACGGCGUCGUUUUGUUCAAAAUAAAAAAUUUAGCAGAGUAAAACGGUGGAAUUUAAUUUUUAGUGGUGUUUUUAUUGAAAACACCGCAAAAGUUAUACAAUUAGUGGCGUUUUUUAUAAGCGCCGCAAAUAUUACAAUACUAAAACGGGGUCGUUUUCUUCCCCAAAUCAGAUUUGACUUAAAAAAACUUAAAACUGGGCGGGGUUUUGUGUUACCAAAUGCCGCCAACCCCUCCCCCAAAGUUCUGAAAACAAAAUCCUUCACUUCAAAAUUUCGCUUUCCCUCACUUCAAAUACCGCCGGCGAUGCCUCCCCUCAAGCUCCCUUGCCUAUCGUCGUUAUUUUCUAAGUCCACCAUCACUGGCGCCGCUUCCACCUCUCUUUUUGCUCAUAAGAAGACCAAGGGUUUUUUUCUAAGUUCCCGAAAUGAUGUUCCUUUUCCUGAUUGGUCCAAUUUUUGGGAAGAAAUCAUAGUGAAUUCUUUUUCUAGGAUUCCAAAAACGAAAAUGGGUUAUAUUUCGGCCAUGGGUUCUUUUUGCUCACUGAGUUUUCUUGCAACUCAUGUAUAUGUUGCGCAUACUUUUUCUGCCUAACAUAACAGUAAGUGCAUUUGGCCUGCUUCCUCUUUCAUUGCCUCUGUUCGUUAGUUUUUUUAUUCUUUUUAGACUCAAAUUCUUUGAAAUUAUGAGGAGAAAUGUGAAGAAAGAAAAACAAACAGAUAAGGGUGAUGCAUCUGCUGAACCGGUUUGAACCAAGGUGGCGGGAGUGGCCCAAGAUGAGUCGGCGGAUGUUGAGUCGAAUCAACCGAAUCGAGAAAAGGAUGCGGCAGAUAGGAGGGUUCUUCACUCCAAAUACCUUGCUGUGAUGACCAAAAUAAGCGGUGCAAGGGAAGAAAUAUCGAACGUGGAUUCUAAUAAAUUUAACAUAAACAUUAAUAAAGUCGACAACUUACAUCAACAAGUGCUGGUCUUGAAGCUCCUUCAAUUUUUGUGGUUAAAUUAUCGAGGGAACUUAAGAGAAACCGGGUAUUUCAAUUAUUACGAGAAGGGAAUGAUCAUUUGGUUCGAAGAUGAUGGAGGUCAACGCUGGAUAUUCUGUUGAAUGAGAAACAACUGCCAGAGUGUCGAAAAUCUGCUGAUAAAGGGAAAAAGCCAGCAGAAAAAGAUGCAAGCGCUUCUGCAUUUGUAAACCAUGGUUCGUUCCUUGCUUUAGAUGACCCAAUGGUGUUUGAUUAUUGCUAUUUUCCCACUUUUUCCAAUGACAUGAAGAAAUUUCUCAAGGGUUAUCAUAGCUACCAUGUCUGUUUUAGCUUUAAGAUAAGAUGUAUGGUUUACAUGCUUUUCUACCAGAUUGUCCCACUCAUUGCUACCAUGUGAGUCUAUCUGCAAUGCUUAUUGCCAUUUUAGAAAAAAAGGACCAAUCUAUUAUUCAUUUCUAUUAGGUCAGUUUCUGUUUUUAAUUUGGUCGUUUAAAUUUGAAAUUUUACAAUUUAAUCAUCUAAUUUUAUAAUAUCAUUAACUAAUUUAAAUAGUUAAUACCGUUAAAUGAGAAUAAUAUUUCGAUUUUAAUCGUAUUUUUGACUUUCGCAAUUAAAUGAGAAUAAUAUUUCGAUUUUAUUUUCAUUAGAAAUUAUAAUUCGACAACUCAACGAAACAAUUAUAUUAGUCUCAUAUUUCAAUUUUUUCCAUUACUUUGAAAUAUUUUUUCCAUUACAAGAUCAUUUGCACCAUUUUUGUGGGAUAUAUUGCAUGUCUGCAAAUGCCUUGUCUUUCAAUUUGUCAUUCUGCUAUAAUUCAU